AGAGUUUGAUCCUGGCUCAGAACGAACGCUGGCGGCGUGGAUAAGACAUGCAAGUCGAACGAGACUUUUCGUUGUAGCAAUACGAUGGAAAGUUUAGUGGCGAACGGGUGCUUAACACGUGGGCAACCUGCCAUGAAGUGGGGGAUAGCUCGUCGAAAAGGCGAAUUAAUACCGCAUGUGAUUAGAGUGGACAUCCAUUCAAAAUUAAAGUCGGGGCAACCUGACGCUUCUUGUGGGGCCCGCGGCCUAUCAGCUAGUUGGUGAGGUAACGGCUCACCAAGGCUUUGACGGGUAGCUGGUCUGAGAGGACGACCAGCCACACUGGGACUGAGACACGGCCCAGACACCUACGGGUGGCAGCAGUCGAGAAUUUUUGACAAUGGGGGAAACCCUGAUCGAGCGACGCCGCGUGGAGGAUGAAGGUCUUCGGAUUGUAAACUCCUGUCAUUGGGGAACAAUGCACAGAUAUUAACUGUAUUUGUGUUGAUAGUACCCGAAGAGGAAGGGACGGCUAACUCUGUGCCAGCAGCCGCGGUAAUACAGAGGUCCCAAGCGUUGUUCGGAUUCAUUGGGCGUAAAGGGUGCGUAGGCGGCGCGGUAAGUCGGGUGUGAAAUCUCGGGGCUUAACUCCGAAACUGCAUUCGAUACUGCCGUGCUUGAGGACUGGAGAGGAGACUGGAAUUUACGGUGUAGCGGUGAAAUGCGUAGAUAUCGUAAGGAAGACCAGUGGCGAAGGCGGGUCUCUGGACAGUUCCUGACGCUGAGGCACGAAGGUCAGGGGAGCAAACGGGAUUAGAUACCCUAGUAGUCC
rnacentral:rRNA from 1 species